AGAUUUCAUAGCAUCUUCAAGCAAUUCUUAAAAGAUUUUAACCAAACUUCUUGCAACCAAACAAUUCCAACGAGAAUUGCUAGAACCGUAGCAAUGUAAAAUUUUGCGGUUCUAAAGGAGUACGGUGCAACAUUUUUCAAGAAUAUCAUACGGAUUUUUCCCUACUCCAGGUAUGUUAAGGAUAUCCCUUCUUUCUUUUUGGCAUGAUCCGUACGAUACAAACGAAACGAGCAAAAUACGCAACUUUCAUAAAUGGCUCUAUUCAUAGAAAUACUAGGGGUGUCAAUAUUAUUGAUUCCCCAUGUGAAUUAUUAUUAUAUCCUCUAUUCAUGGGUCUCAGAAAAAUACGUAUUUGAUAAAGUUUGUCCGAAAGGCAUAUAGAUUUUAUGAUAUUCGAGAAAUCUUAUCAACGUAUUUCUUAUGCAUUUCAUGCAUUUAUACAUGUACAUUGGCCCAUGACCAGAAGGCGUUAUAUACGCGUAUAUUAUAUGUAUAUGGGAUAUGGGAAAAGGUUACGGCGUUAUAUACGUACCACCACCUGAUCAGCUGGUAUACGUUGAUGAUUUUGCCUACAAUGGCCGAGAUGAUAUGAUGGGAUGCCCUCAGAGGCCUGAUGAUGUUAUGAAACAUGUACCUAUACACGAUAUGACAUUCAUACGAUAUGCCAUGACACUAUAAUUAUUUCAUAAUUUACAGAGUUAUCCAGACUUAUAGGUUGAGUCAUUUACUCUAUAUUUCUUCCAUGUCAGUUAUGUACUUAUUUAUGUGCCUUACAUACUCGGUACAUUAUUCGUACUGACGUCUCUUUUUCCUGGGGACGCUGCGUUUCAUGCCUGCAGGUUCCGAUAGACAGGUUGAGAGUCAUCCAAGUAGGCCAUCAGAUCAGCGGAAGAUGUUGGUGUGCUCCAUUUGCUCCGGAGUUGCUUGUUUGGUCAGUAUGAUUUAGACGUGUAUUGUUUAGUAUGGCGGGACCCUGCCUCGACCUUUGUGAUAAGUAUAUACUCUUAGAGGCUUGUAGACAGAUGUCAUGUAUACGAAUAUUUGUAUGGCCUUGCCGGCCUAUGUUUAGAGUUUAUAAAUGAUCUUGUUAGCCUAUUAGGCCUGUAUGUCACGUGUAUAUAAUGAUGUAAUAAGAAAGAUAUAUUACGUUGGUACUCGUUUGAGUAAGGUACCGGGUGCCUGUCACGGCCUAUCGGUUUGGAUCAUGACAAAAGUGGUAUCAUUGCAGUUUUGUCCUAGGGAGUCUACAAGCCGUGUCUAGUAGAGUCUUAUUUAUGGGUGUGAUGUGCACCACACUUAUAAGCAUGUGGUUACAGGGCAUUUAGGACUGUCACUCUUUCUUCUUACUCUAGAUAGUA
rnacentral:lncRNA from 1 species